AAACUCUUUCGUCGACCAACGGCUUACAAUGGGGAUUACAAGGAUAAAAAAAUACAAAACCCUAAUUUCGACUUUGAAGUCAGCGACUCCGCAUUUCUCUUUGCUUCUCCCCGCCGACACGACGAAACAGAUCCCGGCGGCGAACUCUGACUCGCGACGGACACCCGGCAGACAAGUAGAUCCGGCGGCAGCGGACUUGAUAGAUACUCGAACGACCAGCAGCGAACGAGGAGACCCACAGCGGUACGACCUCUUGAUCUGCGUUGAUCAGCCUUUAUCAGGCCGCGACUCCGAGCCACAACCCUUCAAAUUGUGCAAAAUUCUUCGACACCCAUUUUGAUCAUUGGAGAGCUUGAAAGAUAAGUUAAUUCAACUUGUUCUUUCUUGUUUUUCAUCGUAGCAUCUAUUAAUCUAGCCGGUCUUAUUCUCGUAUACAAUGACAGAUACAGGUGAAAAUCAGCCGCCUGAACAAGUUUGUAGCUUCUUCAGAAAACCCACAAAGAACAAAAACAUCAGAAAGCGAACGGUUGAUGAAGACGAAGAAGGCUCUAAAACUGAGACUUCGUUGCUGCUAAAUCAGAAGAAAGCCCCCAAAACUGAAAGCAAGCUUUAUUUUUCUUCUGGACCCUCUAAAAAUUCCUUGUCUAAUGAGUCAGCGGAACCUAAUAAACCAAUUUUCCAAUUUGAGUCUUCAAAGGAAAUUCAAGUUCACCAUGAUAGCAGAGCAACUGCAACUCUAGAAACAGAGACUGAUUUCUCAAGAGAUGCACGAGCCAUCCGUGAGAGAGUUUUGAAGCAAGCUGAGGAGGCUUUGAAGGGUAAAGGCAAGAGUUCUGGUGGUGAGAAGUUGUAUAAAGGGGUCAAUGCUUAUGUUGAUUACAAGGCUGGCUUCAGAAGGGAACAUACAAUUUCAAGUGAAAAAGCUGGUGGAGCACAUGGGCCGCUUAGGGCUUCUGCUCAUAUAAGAGCUUCAGCAAGAUUUGAUUAUCAGCCUGAUAUUUGCAAGGAUUACAAGGAGACGGGUUAUUGUGGUUAUGGAGAUGCGUGCAAGUUUAUGCAUGACCGAGGGGAUUACAAGUCUGGGUGGCAGUUGGAAAAGGAAUGGGAGGAAGUAGAGAAAGCAAGGAAGAGAAAAUUAGCUAUGAAAUCUGACGAUGGGGAUGAGGAUACUUCGGAACAGAGUGAUGAAGAUGAAGAAGAUGCCUUGCCCUUCGCUUGUUUUAUUUGUCGCGAGCCUUUUGUGGAUCCUGUUGUGACCAAGUGCAAGCAUUACUUCUGUGAGCAUUGUGCACUAAAGCACCAUGCAAAGAAUAAGAAAUGCUUCGUUUGCAACCAGCCUACGCUCGGAAUCUUUAACACGGCUCAUGAGAUACGCAAAAAGAUGGCACAGAAGAUCAUACAAAUAUGAAAACAAAAGGAAGCUGCUGCCAUUGUAGAACUUUGUAAAAGCAGGUUUAUUUUCUCUUCAUUUGACGGAUCGUCGAUGAAGGUCAACUUCCUAUAUAACCAUUCAAUGUGUAGACCUACUUCGACCUGAAUUCUCCCAUUGGGUUACAAGUUGAUGAUGAAAGGUGUGCAACACAAGAAGAGAUCACUGAAAACAAGGGGAUUGUCAGGGCAAUUUGAUGUCGAAUCCGAAUUCUGAAUCUUAGAUUUAAGAUGCCACGAGAGAUAUAUUUUCUGUUGCAGGACAGUGAGGUGACCCAUCUAUGGAGUGUGAACAUUCUCAAUAAAGAU